rnacentral:rRNA from 1 species
UCGAACGAGUUCUCGUUGAUGAUUGGUGCUUGCACCGAGAUUCAACAUGGAACGAGUGGCGGACGGGUGAGUAACACGUGGGUAACCUGCCCUUAAGUGGGGGAUAACAUUUGGAAACAGAUGCUAAUACCGCAUAGAUCCAAGAACCGCAUGGUUCUUGGCUGAAAGAUGGCGUAAGCUAUCGCUUUUGGAUGGACCCGCGGCGUAUUAGCUAGUUGGUGAGGUAACGGCUCACCAAGGCGAUGAUACGUAGCCGAACUGAGAGGUUGAUCGGCCACAUUGGGACUGAGACACGGCCCAAACUCCUACGGGAGGCAGCAGUAGGGAAUCUUCCACAAUGGACGCAAGUCUGAUGGAGCAACGCCGCGUGAGUGAAGAAGGCUUUCGGGUCGUAAAACUCUGUUGUUGGAGAAGAAUGGUCGGCAGAGUAACUGUUGCCGGCGUGACGGUAUCCAACCAGAAAGCCACGGCUAACUACGUGCCAGCAGCCGCGGUAAUACGUAGGUGGCAAGCGUUAUCCGGAUUUAUUGGGCGUAAAGCGAGCGCAGGCGGUUUUUUAAGUCUGAUGUGAAAGCCCUCGGCUUAACCGAGGAAGCGCAUCGGAAACUGGGAAACUUGAGUGCAGAAGAGGACAGUGGAACUCCAUGUGUAGCGGUGAAAUGCGUAGAUAUAUGGAAGAACACCAGUGGCGAAGGCGGCUGUCUGGUCUGUAACUGACGCUGAGGCUCGAAAGCAUGGGUAGCGAACAGGAUUAGAUACCCUGGUAGUCCAUGCCGUAUACGAUGAAUGCUA